rnacentral:rRNA from 1 species
AUUGAACGCUGGCGGCAUGCCUUACACAUGCAAGUCGAACGGCAGCACGGGAGCAAUCCUGGUGGCGAGUGGCGAACGGGUGAGUAAAGCAUCGGAACGUGCCCAGUCGUGGGGGAUAACGUAGCGAAAGCUACGCUAAUACCGCAUACGAUCUGUGGAUGAAAGCGGGGGACCGUAAGGCCUUGCGCGAUUGGAGCGGCCGAUGUCAGAUUAGGUAGUUGGUGGGGUAAAAGCUCACCAAGCCGACGAUCUGUAGCUGGUCUGAGAGGACGACCAGCCACACUGGGACUGAGACACGGCCCAGACUCCUACGGGAGGCAGCAGUGGGGAAUUUUGGACAAUGGGCGCAAGCCUGAUCCAGCAAUGCCGCGUGCAGGAUGAAGGCCUUCGGGUUGUAAACUGCUUUUGUACGGAGCGAAAAGGCUUCCACUAAUACUGGGGGCUCAUGACGGUACCGUAAGAAUAAGCACCGGCUAACUACGUGCCAGCCGCCGCUGUAACAC